rnacentral:lncRNA from 1 species
UUGCACUAUGUGUACAUACAUUAGUUAAUCAUGCCUUAGAAUUAUGCUUUAAUUUGGUUUGUUGGGAUAUGAUUUGUUUUUGAGAUUGAUGUAUUUCUGUAUAUCAAAGUAUGCUUUCUGUCUCUUAUAAUCCUAGUCUCUUACUCUCUUUCGAAGUCAUAUGGACCUUGCUUGCUUCCAGUUGAUUUCUCCAUCACUGGUAAGUUGUCUUCUAACCUGUGUAAUGCCUCAAUUAAAUGAAGGCUUUCAUAUUGCUUCAAGUUUUCUUAGCAAGAAACUCAAACACCAAGAGAUUGCUUCAAGAGUUUGUCAUUAGAUGUUCUUGACCUUUGAUGGAUUAUAUUCACAAGUUUGUCUCAUUGGAAAUCCUAUAUAGAUCAUGGAAGGCUAAGGCUGCAAAUGGGUCGGGUCGACCCCCGACCCGACCCGUGUAGACCGGACCCGACCCGAAUUUUAGGACCCGCGGAUCCGGGUCGGGUCCUAAAAUUGGACCCGAAUCAUUUUUUGGGUCGGGUCUGGGUUUACCGAACGGACCCGACCCGACCCGAAUGGACCCGAAAAGAGAGAGAGGGGGAAAAGCAAAAGAGAGUUUUUUUUUUUGUGUGGGUCGUGGCACUAUUGGUCCGUCAGGAUUCUCUCUCGAUCUAUUACACUGUUGCUACCUCUGGUGUCUCGGUAGCUGGCUUUUUUUUUCCUUCUGUUUUUUGGUUUCUGUUUUUUUUAACUUUUGCAGGGAGGAUGAAGUAUCUGGUAGACUAUCUGGUACUUACAAUGACUCAAGAAAGCAAACAAAUUCCAUGCCGAAGGCUGUAUCACUACCUUCAUCACCCAAUGAAUUCAGGGGUCAGACUUCAGAGAGAAGUGGAGCUUCUGAUUUUCUAAGAACAGAAGAUUUGGUAUCAUCAACUUGGAACAAAGUCUUGCAGUCUUGUCCAUUUCUGAAUAAGCCUUUAUUACCUUUUGAAGAAUGGAAUAUUGAUUUCUCAGAGUUAACUGUUGGAACACGUGUUGGGAUAGGGUUUUUUGGAGAGGUCUUCCGCGGCAUAUGGAAUGGUACAGAUGUUGCCAUCAAAGUUUUUCUAGAACAAGAUCUUACAGCUGAAAAUAUGGAAGAUUUCUGUAAUGAAAUAUCCAUACUGAGCCGUCUUCGGCACCCAAAUGUUAUAUUAUUUCUUGGUGCAUGCAUGAAACCUCCUCAUUUGUCAAUGGUUACUGAAUACAUGGAGAUGGGAUCAUUGUAUUAUCUUAUACAUUUGAGCGGCCAGAAAAAGAAACUCAGUUGGCGUAGGAGAUUGAAAAUGCUCCGUGACAUCUGCAAGUGAGGGAACACUGAACUGAAUAUGGGUCAUGUGCCCGUUUUCUGCAAUGGAAUUAGAUUUUGGAAGAAGGUCUGGGAUUUUUUUUGUCGUCGUGAGAGGGGAGAUGGGAGACACCAAGUGCCGUCCAAUCAGUCAUAUAGACAAAAAAUAGUGGGAUAUGAAAUUUGGCUUGUAGACCAACUUAGUAAGUCAUGGGUCAUCCGUUCUGACUAGAGGUCAAUUGCAAGUCUUUCAAGCCAUGGGUCACCCAGCACCUCAUAAUUAUGAUAUGACCAAAUUAGAUUUGCCCAAAUUCUUUCCCAAAAGCACAAAAAAGUGGACCCGAUUCGGACCCGAACCCGAUCCGACUUGGACCCGGAUCCGAUCCAGACCCGAACCCGAUCCGACUCGGAUCCGGAUCCGAUCCAGACCCGACCCGACCCGACCCGAUCUUCAACUGGGUCGGGUCUGGGUUCAAAAUUAGGACCCGAACAAAAAACCGGGUCGGAUUGGGGUCACCCGACCUGACCCAUUUGCACCCCUAUGUAAGGCUCUUGAUUAAAAUUAAGAUUACUUUGUUUUUAUCAUAUAAUAUACUUGCAUGUUACCUUAGAGGAUGAUAUCCUACUUCAUGUAUGCUAUGAUGUUGCCCUUAAAUUUGUAUUUGUUGCAUUAGGGCAGCUCCCUUAAUUUUUCUCUUCUAUCUCAUAAAAUUAAAGCAUUUAGAUUUUUGGAGUCAUCUUUAGUGGUUUGUCAUGAGGAAACUCAUUUUGCGAGCCAAUCUACUUCCAAGCUCCAAUGCUGGAUGUAAUCAACUUGUGAUUCAUGGAAGACUGUCGUGGUCCUCUUGCGACCAUUCCAACAAUUUUUGGGCACUUUCCUGGUCUUCUUUCUAUCCUAUAGUAGUAUUGGGUAGACUUAUUAGUAUUUUUGAGAAUUAUGAGGCAUACAACCUUCUUCCUCUCAGAUCUUGGUGUAAUUUCUUUAUCUCCAUUCUGUAAAUUGAUGCAUGGCCACUUUUCUGAAGCCGAUUCAGUUCUGUAAGUGUUGCCAAUAAAUCCUGAAAAGAAUUGUCUAUUAUGACUGAGGUAUGAUCUUCCCCUUAAAACCAUAAUAAACUAUGCAUAACCUUUGUAUUUUCACUUACAUUUUUUUUAGUCCACUCUCAUGGCAUCCUAAAUCUUGUUAUUUGGUUGCAUUCCAUUGGGUACUGUUGCAAAGUAUAUUGGCCGUCCGCUAGAACUUACUUUCAAUCCUAUUGGUUUUCAUUAAGACAAUGAUUGAUGCUUGCAAUGUUUUAAAUAUCUGUGGGACGACUGGGCAUCUCACCGUUCCUAGUGUCGGUAUGGUAUGUGGGAUGAGUCAGGAAAUGGCUUGUGAUGGGAUGGGACAUCCACUAUCUCAAGUGUUUGUAGGUGGGGGGUGUCUUGUUCCAUUGAAAAUUGAGACAGUCCCAUCCUACAUUAUUUACAACCUUGGUUACUUGUUUGGUAAUUUUGCAUUAUGUUAUCGAAAUAGAAAAUUGAGACAUUCCCAUACCACAGUAUGUAAAACCUUGGAUGUUUGUCUGGUGGUUUCAUGUUAUUGUCUCUUGUGCCCUAUAGAUGUGGAUCUGCUAUAUAGGCUACAACUGUCUGAUUUCUGGUAGCUUUUAAGGAUUGGCAUCAUUCAGUAUCUAUUGUUUUAAAUUAUACAUGAAUGGAUAAGGUUCACUCAAGGUCGGAGGAACCGAUACCGAGCACCGUACCGGUUAUCCGGCUGCACGAGUCGGUACAAGCUGUGGGAGCCGUACCGACGAGGGCACAAUACUAUGGGAGAGAGGAAGAGAGAGAGAGAGAAGGGGGAAAGACGCCGGCGGAGGCCACGGCAGGAGAGGUCGUGGCCGGUUCCUCUGUUUCGAACGAAACAGAGGUCCAGCCGCGGCUUAAAAUUUUUUAGAAUUUUUAAGUGAAGUCAGUAAAUCAAUUGAACACUUUUAUGAGAAACACUUUAUAUUAUAAUUCUACAGUGCAAUUUUCACGAAUUGAAACCCAUCUUUGCCAAGUCCUGAGUGUGGCAACAAUUACAAUGAAUCAUUGGCCUGAUUUUAAUAUGAUCAGUUGCCGCAGAAACACAUAAUUGUCAAUUUAAACCUCGAGUCAUGUAAUCAUAAAAUGAUGGAUCUUUUGGAGCAAGUAAGUUGCAUUCUAAAUUCAAAUUUUGUAGCUUACAACUCAAAAUCGUUAUACAGAUCACUUCCAUCAUCCCAUAAUAUAUAACAUAGCUCAUUACGUCAUAUUACAUAUAGAUAUAUUAUACUAUUCUUAUCUCACUACUAAUAGGCAACUAGAAGCCUUAAAUUUAAAUGCAAAUAUUGCCAAGUCUCUCUACUGUAGAAAAGUGGCCUUAUUAUGAAUACCAAAACAUUUGAGGCUUGUUAAUAGUAUAAUACCAAGCAGUCUCUCACUUUGAAAUAUAACAAAUAUAGGUAGGUAAGCUAUACAAGUAUCCAACAUAACAAACAAUAUCAAGGUUCAUCAUUCAAUGCAUAUCGUCUUGUACCAAGCAUAACCUUACAAUACCGAUACCAAACCAGUACUCAGUACAGGGACAUAUCGAGUGUCAGUACGUUGAACUGGCAUUUUACUAAUGUGAUAUCAAUAUGGACAUUGAAACCAGUAUUACGAACCUGGAACAAUAUAGUUUUCCAAAAAAGUAGAAUGAUAGAAGCAAUAAUGACCAGUACUAAUUGAAACUCAAAAAGUCAUGAAACAUUAUCUUAUAAGAGUUAUCAAAUAAGUGCAUUAGCCAAGAUAGCUUACUUGUAAAACAUUAAAAACACUUAAAACAAAUAGUACAAUCAAAAACAUAUCUUUAUUCAUAUAGUUGAAAACACUAGUUUCAAAGCAUUGAAUACACUUGGAGUUUCUUCGUAAAGUCAAUUCAGUAUUAACUGGUUAGCAAUCAUCAUAUCUCAUGCCGGUUGCUCAAGGGUUUACUGAUGAAUGGGCCCACUAACUAAAGAUUCACUUGUACCAACUAUUAUACUAGCGGGUCAAGAUUGAUGCGUCAACUAUUAUACCCAUUUUCUAGGGUUCACUAAUAACCAACUACUAUACCUGCUAGAUUUGCAUUGGAAACAAUUAUUAUACCUGUUUCUCAAGGAUUCACUCAUUCAUCGACCAGAGGGUUUUCAAUCAAUAAAUAUAAGAUAUUCACUUUUAAAUAGUAGGACAGCAAUAAAGUCUUUGAAUGGAUCAGAAUGAUCAAGAGAAAUUUCUUUGAUACAUUGAUAAUGUUUGAUUUUAAAAAGCUCAAUUUGGCAUUAAUAUAUGCUUAAACAAAUACUCCAAGCUCAAAGGAAAGUUUACAAAAUUAACUUAUUACAAAAGUAUUAGUAAGAAGUGUUCGGCAAAAUCAUGAAACUGUGAUCGCUUUAAAUCAAGCUAGGAUACAUGUUGUUCCAUCAUUGUAUAACCAAACAAUUUACUAUGUCUGAAAUCCAUAAAAUAAUUCUGAUCCCAAUAAAGCGAAAUAUUUUGAUCUGACUGUUGCCAAAACAUUGAGAAAACAGAUUUCAAAAAUCAGUGAACCAAUUUCAAAAGCUGAACCACCACUUCCUUUUUGCUUUAUUUUUCCUUGCUUCCCUCAGCUUCACUUUCUCCUCAACAAGUUUCUCUACUCUAUGGUUGCUGUUAUUUGGAGCAUCAAAAAGGUAGCAAGAAGGCUGAAAUCCCCUUUGAUAGCUGAUUAAAUAGCUGAGGUGGCCAGUCAUCAUAAGGAAGCUAGGUGUCAACUAUUGGCUACCAUGCAAGACUGCAAGUAGGAGGUGGCAGCCAAGGAGAAGCAUGAGGUGGUGUUAAGCAUGGUCAUAAGGAUGGGGUGGCAUUAGCAUGAGAUGGCAGCUGCCUGAGGAAAGCAUGAGGUGGCAACUUAUUAGAGAAAACAUGCGGCGGACAUAAUUCUCUAGCAUAGCAAUUUAGUCGUGGAAGAAUUUUCUUAUUCAUUCGUAGGUCUUAUUAAAUGAGUCCUUGCUAAUAUAAUUCCUAUAUGAAAGAUUCAUUAAGGAUUCUAUUAACACAUAUCCGUAGCUGCUACUAUAAACUAAGCACCCAUAAACAAAUGAUCAUCUAAUACCCUAUAUAAAAGCAGAUGGUCAGGGGGCAUUUGGUUCUCAUCUCUUUGGCCAGCAGCCCACCCACUCAAAGUUUCUUCACUUGCUUUUGUUUAUCUUUCCACCCAAUGACUCCGUGACAACUCCUAUUGGCAGCUGGGGUACGGCCGCUAGCUGGCACCACCUCUACUAUUUUUUCCAUUCCAUGCAUCGUGCAUUAAAAAAAAAUCUGUCCUACUGCCCCAUAAGAAAGUUUCUACAUACGGUAGGGCUUUUAGUAACCACCUAACAAUGCAUACCAUAGGAUCAAGUUUUGUUGAUUUGAUAUUUCUAAGUAGGACUUCAUAGAAACCAGGACUCUUUUAAUUUUCAAAAUUAGCAGCUCUCAUCAUCAUCUCAAAUUCCCUUUCAUCACAAGAAAUAAUAAUAACUUACAUAGCUGAUCUAUUUAAAAAUAAAUUUUAGAAAAGAAUCUCCUAUUUUUUUUAAAUUUAGAGAUAAUCAUUAAUUGAUGUGUAAAAUAUGAUGCAUCUACACUAUAUACUUGAUAUAAAUACUUUUUACUGGUCGAAAAUAUGUAUGAAAUAUGUAUUAUAUAUUCUAUAUGAUCUGGGCUAGGGGGCUCACAAACUGCUAGCUUAAAUUUAGUGGUUAUAUUGGACUUCCAUUGCUUUCCAUAUUUUGCAUGCUUGCUUCAUAAGUCCAUAAUCAAUUGCAAACUUUUUCUUUGAAAGCACUUCUUCAUCCAUUGCUUUUUUUGGAAGUUAUUGCUGCCAUAAUUCUGUGUAACAUUGUAUUGAUGUUUAAUGGCUUUUUAAAUGAUUUGGGAAUCAACUCAUCAAUUUGAUGAUCAGGAUGAAGUAUCUGGUAGACUAUCUGGUACUUACAAUGACUCAAGAAAGCAAACAAAUUCCAUGCCGAAGGCUGUAUCACUACCUUCAUCACCCAAUGAAUUCAGGGGUCAGACUUCAGAGAGAAGUGGAGCUUCUGAUUUUCUAAGAACAGAAGAUUUGGUAUCAUCAACUUGGAACAAAGUCUUGCAGUCUUGUCCAUUUCUGAAUAAGCCUUUAUUACCUUUUGAAGAAUGGAAUAUUGAUUUCUCAGAGUUAACUGUUGGAACACGUGUUGGGAUAGG